GACGAACGCUGGCGGCGUGCUUAACACAUGCAAGUCGAGCGGUAAGGCCCUUUCGGGGGUACGACGAGCGGCGAACGGGUGAGUAACACGUGGGUGACCUGCCCUCAGCUCUGGGAUAAGCCUGGGAAACCGGGUCUAAUACCGGAUAUGACUCCAUGACGCAUGUUGUGGGGUGGAAAGCCUUGUGCGGCUGAGGAUGGGCCCGCGGCCUAUCAGCUUGUUGGUGGGGUGAUGGCCUACCAAGGCGACGACGGGUAGCCGGCCUGAGAGGGCGACCGGCCACACUGGGACUGAGACACGGCCCAGACUCCUACGGGAGGCAGCAGUGGGGAAUCUUGCGCAAUGGGCGAAAGCCUGACGCAGCGACGCCCGCGUGAGGGAUGACGG
rnacentral:rRNA from 1 species